UGCUUCUCGGUUGAUGGUGUCGAAAAAGCGGAGACAUUCCCGAGGAAGAAGGCUGGAAUAAUGAAGGCGAUGGAGUCCAAGUGGGGUUGAGGAAGGGAAGGCCUUGUCUUGGGAGACUUGUGCUUCAGUGUGAUGUCAGCGGCGGCAGUGUCGGUGUAAUUGACUUGCUGGGGUGAUGGCGUCAUUUUAUGCCCUGCUGUAGCCUCCUGCUUCAAUAGCGAAAAGGGGGGAGACGGAGCUUUAGCGGACGCGGCCGUGGCUCCCUUCGCCCGGAUCGAGCACCGCCGAGCCGGACACCUCGCCACGGGAAACAUGGAGGCUGCGGCCGAGGAGCUGCUGGCCGGCUCUCGGGUACCUGUCACAAUCGAUCAAAUAGUUAACGAUACGCUGCUGGUGACGCUGACCUAUCGAGAACGGAGCUUCACGGGGAUUUUACUCGACUGUAACAAAAAGACUGGACUGUUCUGUUUACCAGAUUUCACAACAAAACCAGUGGACUUCCCGAUAUCCAAGACAUCUUGUGAAAUCCCAGAAGUGCAGGGUGACGAGCCAGAUUUUAAAUCUCCCAGCCAGUCAUCGCACAGACCAAAGGAUGAAAAUACUCUCCCAGAAAACGGUGCUGCCCCACCACUUUGUCCACUUCCAACACCAGUGCCAGCUGGGCAAAUGCCAUACCCUCCUUAUUUUGAAGGAGCCCCCUUCCCCCAACCUUUAUGGGUGCGCCACAGCUACAGUCAAUGGGUACCACAGCCCCCUCCACGACCAAUUAAAAGGAGGAAGAGGCGGACACGAGAGCAGGGACGCAUGGCCAUCAGUACCAUUCGUCUGCGGCCACGGCAGGUACUUUGUGAAAAGUGCAAAAAUACCUUGAAUAGCGAUGAGGACAGCAAAGAUGGCAUAAACAAUACCAAGACCUCGAGAAAAGAGAAUACACUACAGAGCGAUGAUGAUGGAGAUGACAAAGAUAUACCUAAUAAUAAGCUCUCAAAAAAAGACGAUGUAGUGGCAACCAAGGACAGUAAGAGACGGGAAAACGGCACCAGCAUUGACAGCAAACGCCUCAGGAAAGACAAAAAGGGGGAAUCUGAAGGGGAGAAGUUCUCUGGAAGUGACGUUAUCCCCCACAGUCCAGUUAUAAAGAUUUCAUACAGCACUCCACAGGGCAAGGGAGAGGUCAUGAAGAUCCCCUCGCGAGUCCAUGGUUCAGUAAAACCAUUCUGUCCUAAGCAACUAGUGCAGAAUGGCUUAACUGCAAACGGCAAGAUUCCAUCUAAUCCUACCAAGGAGCAAAGACACAUUUUAGAUGCUAGACGGUCUGGUCUUACUGUAUCCAUUCCCAAACUCAAACUGACGAGACCUUUCACCACCGUUUGUCAGGAUUUGCCAUCUCCAAAGAUCCGCUUGAAACACCCACCGAGGCAGCGCAAUGAGAGCGUGGUCGAAUAUGAGGCAGAACUUGUAGGAGAUCCCAGGAGACGAAGCCCAAGGGCAACUGCACCCUGUCUCGCCCACUCUGAAGACUCUGGGGAAGGCAAGAACUCUCUGGAGUUGUGGUCAGCGAGUUCUGGAGAGGAGGCGGAACACGGCCACAAUGACCUUACCCUUCUCAUCAAUUUCCGGAAGCGAAAAGCAGAUUCCUCCAGUCUGUCAGUUUGCAGCAGUGACAGCUUGGAUGAAUCCAAGUCUUUCAGUUCUGAUGGCACAUCACCAGAGCUGUGUGAUUUGGCACCUGGCGAGGAUCUAUCUGUAACCUCAUCUUCACUACCAUCACGGGACGAUUGCAAGACUGUUCCCCCACUCACAGUGCGGCUACACACCCGCAGCAUGACAAAGUGUGUGACAGAAGAGGGUCAUGCUGUGGCGGUGGGGGACAUUGUGUGGGGGAAAAUCCAUGGCUUCCCCUGGUGGCCUGCACGUGUUCUCAGUAUCAGCGGCACCCGCAAGGAGGAAACUGCCACUUCAGAGGCCCAGUGGCCCCAGGCAAAGGUGGCAUGGUUUGGUUCUCCUACAACAUCCCAACUCUCUGUUGCCAAACUUUCACCCUUCAGAGAGCUCUUCAGGUCCCGUUUCAAUCGUAAAAAGAAAGGGAUGUACCGCAGAGCCAUCCUGGAGGCAGCCAAGGCUGUUGGACACAUGAGCCCAGAGAUUACGUCACUACUUUCCCAUGGCGACACAUAGGAAGAAAACCUCUCCAUAUUCCAAGUGCAACUCACUAGUUUUUCUUCAGAAGUAAGUUAUUGACACGAUUCAUCAUUUCCACAUAAUCAGAAGAUCUCCAACAAUCGGUUAUGGCCAUUCCUAAGUUUAGUGUUCCAAACUGUACCUUGCCGAACUCUACUGCCGAGAGGAAACAUUCCAUGAAUGAAGAUAAGGGUAGUUCCUAUUGUAUCUGAAUACUGAGGCUGGGUGCAGAAAGGAGGUCGCAGAGGUUUUUCUUCUUUCGUGAAUUCUCAGACCCCGGUCAUCAAGACCCAGGAGGGAAUACGUGUGGUUGCCUGGGCUACUAUUUAUAUGCUGUCCCCCCCUUCUUUCAUUUCUUUUUCACAAGGCUGAUGUAAAAUGGCUGCCAAGGUGAGGACAAGGGAGCAAAAAAAAGGAAAAGGCCAUGCACCCCAUGGUAUGCUGUGACUGUUCCUCCUUGUUUAAUUUUCUAGGAGUGGCUAGAACGGACCAACACUACAAGAACCAGAAUGUAUUUAUUCUCUUAUUGUUUAAGAAUCCACGUUUUGUCUCUGAACUUCCCAGUGUGCUAAUGUCAUUCGGCACAGUUUGAUGGAAGGGUUUAAAAAAGUCUUACCCUUUUUGUCCACCCCCCCAGCCCCGCCCCGCCCACAGACCUACGUUUAUAAAAUGUGAACAGCUCCAUCCAGUGAGUGGUAGUAACCUGCUCUUCUAGUGACCAGUGUUCCCUUUGUGCAUGUUGAUACUGAUGUUCAGUCAUUGUGUCUCUCCUACAUUUCAUUUGGAACUUGAGAGGCGUCGGCCCCUUUCUCACUCUUCUCUUCCCGUCACUUGUAAUUAUUUAAAGCAUUAAGAAAAAGCACUUUAUCUGUACCUCGGUGGCCUGCUGUAAGCUCACUGUCAGAAACACUAUUACCGUGAGCUACAGCCCGAUAGGCAGCAGGGGAGCUAGGAAAUCAUUUGUGGUUGACUAUCCAACGGCCUUGGAGAUAUGACUAACAUUUUUUGGAUGGUUGCGUACACUGUAUUCUCACAUGGGUGUGUUUCUUUCUCAGCUCGUCUACCACACUACAAAAACCCCACAUGUGACAUUUCCUAUUGGACAAACCUGGGUGAAAUGCGUGUAAACCUUCCCUAUGCAGUAUCAGUUCAAGCUUUACGGUCGACUUUGGAAGAACAACAGAACAUGCUGGAAGAAUACUGUGAAGUCAACUACUCGUAGCCCGCGGUUAUCGAGUCAUUCGGCAAAGCAAACUGAAGCGCUGACCUUUUAGUGAGCUUUUGGGUUGAAAGGCGCACUGUUUGAAUAAGGGAGAGGGGCAGGAGCAGAGACCACUGGUGUUGAGCACAGGCCAGCCUGUAUCAAAGAACUGCACACAGUCGCCCUCGGACGAGCAGCCUGGCUAAUAUCCGCUUGGCCACAAACGCUUAGCUUGUGAUUAAGGCGGAAGAAUGAGGGACUUUUUUUUUUGUUGAGUUUUUUUCCAAGGGGAGCAGAUGACGACCAUUCUGGUUCUCUGCGCUAUGACUGCCAUCAAGCCCGGCUCGUUUUCCAGGCAGCCUUACACAGAUUCUAAAUGUAUGUACGCCCAAAAGGGGAAACGCGUGUGAGGAUUUUCCUAUGUGUGUGCAACACGGCUAUCAACUGUUGCCCAUAUUGGUCAAUGUUAUUGGCUACUUUGUUUUCUUUUUUGUUUUUGUUUUUUACGUGUACAUAAAAUAAAAUAUACAAGCAAUAUCA